UACGGGGGGGGCAAGCGUUGUUCGGAAUUACUGGGCGUAAAGGGCUCGUAGGUGGCCAACUAAGUCAGACGUGAAAUCCCUCGGCUUAACCGGGGAACUGCGUCUGAUACUGGGUGGCUUGAAUCCGGGAGAGGGAUGCGGAAUUCCAGGUGUAGCGGUGAAAUGCGUAGAUAUCUGGAGGAACACCGGUGGCGAAGGCGGCAUCCUGGACCGGUAUUGACGCUGAGGCGCGAAAAGCCAGGGGAGACAAAGCGGG
rnacentral:rRNA from 1 species